GAUGAACGCUGGCGGCGUGCCUAAUACAUGCAAGUCGAGCGAAUGGAUUAAGAGCUUGCUCUUAUGAAGUUAGCGGCGGACGGGUGAGUAACACGUGGGUAACCUGCCCAUAAGACUGGGAUAACUCCGGGAAACCGGGGCUAAUACCGGAUAACAUUUUGAACCGCACGGUUCGAAAUUGAAAGGCGGCUUCGGCUGUCACUCAUGGCUGGACCCGCGUCGCAUUAGCUAGUUGGUGAGGUAACGGCUCACCACGGCAACGAUGGGUAGCCGACCUGAGAGGGUGAGAGGCCACACUGAGACUGAAACACGGCCCAGACUACUACGGGAGGCAGCAGUAGGGAAUCUUCCGAAAUGGACGAAAGUCUGACGGAGCAACGCCGCGUGAGUGAUGAAGGCUUUCGGGUCGUAAAACUCUGUUGUUAGGGAAGAACAAGUGCUAGUUGAAUAAGCUGGCACCUUGACGGUACCUAACCAGAAAGCCACGGCUAACUACGUGCCAGCAGCCGCCGUAA
rnacentral:rRNA from 1 species